UGAACACAUUGAAGACAGUUUUAUUGAACAAAAAGCACAAACAGAAGAGGUAGUGGCUAUAUAUACAUUGUCUUUGCCUUGACAAAAAAGACUCAAAAUAAAGUCUACAAUCAAACCAACCAAAUCUCUACCUUAAAAGACUCAUAUUUACAGUGCCCUUAAAAUAAAACCAUUCACCACAUUAUUACAAGAAAACCCUUCAUUCUUACCUUUUCCUUCCAACUAGAUCUAUGAAAUCUCCAUUGGAAAAUUGUGAUACCCUAAACCUGUGGCUGAAACAGCUGUUGGCCCCUCCACCUUGAAUUUUGCUCCCCAGAUCUCUUCUUCAGGAGCAGGUUCAGCAGUAAUCUUGUUCUUCGGAUUCUCAUAGCAUCUCAAUUCUCCCACCGCAGUAGAGAAGAAACAUCCUUGAGGAAACGAAGCGAGGGAUUUACCACAAGCACCUUUAAGAAGACCAGCAUCAUCAGCGAAGGCGACGUAUCCAUCGGCAGUUAUUCCCCAAUACAAAGGCACUUUCCCUAUCUGAUCAGAGGCGACGAAGAGAGUGGAAGUGGAGUUAUCGAAGAGGAUGAAGGCGAAACUGCCGCUGAGAUGGCCGACGACAUGGUCGGCUGGAUAUGGAGCUCGAUCACGAAGAGCUUUGUAAGCUUCGAUUACUAAGACAACUUCAUUGGUGGAUUUAGGAAGGCCGUAUUGGGUUCUCAAGCUCCCUAAAUUGUCUAGGGCUCCUUCGAACAAACAGAAUAUCUCCUCCUUCACUGCCAUUGAUCUGGGGUGCAAGGGAGAUUGGUUGUGGUGAGUAAAGGCGAGAUGGACAUGAUCGCCGAUCUGGAGGGAGACGGCGGCGGCGUUGGAAUCAGCGAACCGCUUCGCCAGUGCUGUCGACGAUAUCUUGGGCGACGGAGUCCGGCAGCCGGCGGCCACCAGUUCGUCCGGCGGCGACAUGAUGGAACUGCUAAAUAUCCCCAACAUAUUUGCCUGGAUCUGAGAAAUUGAACUUCAAAGAAGAAGAAGAAAAAUAAAAUUUGAUUUUGUAAUUUUGAUGUGAAAAAAUUAAUAAAAGAAAAAAGAAAGAUCGAAGCUCUGAAG
rnacentral:misc_RNA from 1 species